rnacentral:rRNA from 1 species
GAGCGGCGUACGGGUGCGUAACACGUGUGCAACCUACCUUUAUCAGGGGAAUAGCCUUUCGAAAGGAAGAUUAAUACUCCAUAAUAUAUUGAAUGGCAUCAUUUAAUAUUGAAAACUCCGGUGGAUAGAGAUGGGCACGCGCAAGAUUAGAUAGUUGGUGAGGUAACGGCUCACCAAGUCAAUGAUCUUUAGGGGUCCUGAGAGGGAGAUCCCCCACACUGGUACUGAGACACGGACCAGACUCCUACGGGAGGCAGCAGUGAGGAAUAUUGGACAAUGGGUGAGAGCCUGAUCCAGCCAUCCCGCGUGAAGGAUUAAGGUCCUAUGGAUUGUAAACUUCUUUUGUACAGGGAUAAACCUAGAUACGUGUAUCUAGCUGAAGGUACUGUACGAAUAAGCACCGGCUAACUCCGUGCCAGCAGCCGCGGUAAUACGGAGGGUGCAAGCGUUAUCCGGAUUUAUUGGGUUUAAAGGGUCCGCAGGCGGACCGAUAAGUCAGUGGUGAAAUCUCAUAGCUUAACUAUGAAACUGCCAUUGAUACUGUCGGUCUUGAGUAAAUUAGAGGUAGCUGGAAUAAGUAGUGUAGCGGUGAAAUGCAUAGAUAUUACUUAGAACACCAAUUGCGAAGGCAGGUUACCAUGAUUUAACUGACGCUGAGGGACGAAAGCGUGGGUAGCGAACAGGAUUAGAUACCCUGGUAGUCCACGCCGUAAACGAUGCUAACUCGUUUUUGGGGCGCAAGCCUCAGAGACCAAGCGAAAGUGAUAAGUUAGCCACCUGGGGAGUACGUUCGCAAGAAUGAAACUCAAAGGAAUUGACGGGGGCCCGCACAAGCGGUGGAUUAUGUGGUUUAAUUCGAUGAUACGCGAGGAACCUUACCAAGGCUUAAAUGGGAAAUGACAGGCUUAGAAAUAGGCUCUUCUUCGGACAUUUUUCAAGGUGCUGCAUGGUUGUCGUCAGCUCGUGCCGUGAG